rnacentral:rRNA from 1 species
CCUACGGGGGGCAGCAGUGGGGAAUAUUGCACAAUGGGCGCAAGCCUAAUGCAGCCAUGCCGCGUGUGUGAAGAAGGCCUUCGGGUUGUAAAGCACUUUCAGCGGGGAGGAAGGCGUUAAGGUUAAUAACCUUGGCGAUUGACGUUACCCGCAGAAGAAGCACCGGCUAACUCCGUGCCAGCAGCCGCGAUAAUACGGAGGGUGCAAGCGUUAAUCGGAAUUACUGGGCGUAAAGCGCACGCAGGCGGUCUGUCAAGUCGGAUGUGAAAUCCCCGGGCUCAACCUGGGAACUGCAUUCGAAACUGGCAGGCUAGAGUCUUGUAGAGGGGGGUAGAAUUCCAGGUGUAGCGGUGAAAUGCGUAGAGAUCUGGAGGAAUACCGGUGGCGAAGGCGACCCCCUGGACAAAGACUGACGCUCAGGUGCGAAAGCGUGGGGAGCAAACAGGAUUAGAUACCCCUGUAGUC